UGGGGAAUAUUGCACAAUGGGCGAAAGCCUGAUGCAGCAACGCCGCGUGAGUGAUGAAGGCCUUCGGGUUGUAAAGCUCUGUCUUUUGGGACGAUAAUGACGGUACCAAAGGAGGAAGCCACGGCUAACUACGUGCCAGCAGCCGCGGUAAUACGUAGGUGGCAAGCGUUGUCCGGAUUUACUGAGCGUAAAGGAUGCGUAGGCGGAUUUUUAAGUGAGAUGUGAAAUACCCGGGCUUAACUUGGGUGCUGCAUUUCAAACUGGGAAUCUAGAGUGCGGGAGAGGAGAAUGGAAUUCCUAGUGUAGCGGUGAAAUGCGUAGAGAUUAGGAAGAACACCAGUGGCGAAGGCGAUUCUCUGGACCGUAACUGACGCUGAGGCAUGAAAGCGUGGGUAGCAAACAGGAUUAGAUACCCUGGUAGUCCACGCCGUAAACGAUGAGUACUAGGUGUAGGAGGUAUCGACCCCUUCUGUGCCGCAGUUAACACAAUAAGUACUCCGCCUGGGAAGUACGAUCGCAAGAUUAAAACUCAAAUGAAUUGACGGGGGUCAUAGCUGUUUUUCCU
rnacentral:rRNA from 1 species